AACCGCAUGGUUCUAAAGUGAAAGAUGGUUUUGCUAUCACUUAUAGAUGGACCCGCGCCGUAUUAGCUAGUUGGUAAGGUAACGGCUUACCAAGGCGACGAUACGUAGCCGACCUGAGAGGGUGAUCGGCCACACUGGAACUGAGACACGGUCCAGACUCCUACGGGAGGCAGCAGUAGGGAAUCUUCCGCAAUGGGCGAAAGCCUGACGGAGCAACGCCGCGUGAGUGAUGAAGGGUUUCGGCUCGUAAAACUCUGUUAUUAGGGAAGAACAAACGUGUAAGUAACUGUGCAUGUCUUGACGGUACCUAAUCAGAAAGCCACGGCUAACUACGUGCCAGCAGCCGCGGUAAUACGUAGGUGGCAAGCGUUAUCCGGAAUUAUUGGGCGUAAAGCGCGCGUAGGCGGUUUCUUAAGUCUGAUGUGAAAGCCCACGGCUCAACCGUGGAGGGUCAUUGGAAACUGGGAAACUUGAGUGCAGAAGAGGAAAGUGGAAUUCCAUGUGUAGCGGUGAAAUGCGCAGAGAUAUGGAGGAACACCAGUGGCGAAGGCGACUUUCUGGUCUGUAACUGACGCUGAUGUGCGAAAGCGUGGGGAUCAAACAGGAUUAGAUACCCUGGUAGUCCACGCCGUAAACGAUGAGUGCUAAGUGUUAGGGGGUUUCCGCCCCUUAGUGCUGCAGCUAACGCAUUAAGCACUCCGCCUGGGGAGUACGACCGCAAGGUUGAAACUCAAAGGAAUUGACGGGGACCCGCACAAGCGGUGGAGCAUGUGGUUUAAUUCGAAGCAACGCGAAGAACCUUACCAAAUCUUGACAUCCUUUGAAAACUCUAGAGAUAGAGCCUUCCCCUUCGGGGGACAAAGUGACAGGUGGUGCAUGGUUGUCGUCAGCUCGUGUCGGGGAGAUGUUGGGGUAAAGUCCCGCAACGAGCGCAAACCCUUAAGCUAAGUUGCCAUCAUUAAAGUGGGCCACUCUAGGUUGACUGCCGGUGAACAAACCGGAGGGAAGGUGGGGGAUGGACGUCAAAUCAUCAUUGCCCCUUAUGAUUUGGGGCUCACACACUGGUUACAAUGGAAAUAUACAAAGGGAACCUAAACCGGCAAGGUCUUGCAAAUCCCUAUAAAGUGGUCCUCAGUUCGGAUGGAAGUCUGAACCUCAACUACUGAAGCUGGAAUCCUUGUAAUCGAAAUCAGCUGGUCGGGGAAUACUUCCCGGGUUUGUCACCCCCCCCGUCCCCCCGAAAUUUGACCCCCAACCGGGGAAAACCUU
rnacentral:rRNA from 1 species